rnacentral:tRNA from 1 species
GGGCCGCUAGCUCAACUGGCAGAGCAGCAGACUCUUAAUCUGCGGGUUCGGGGUUCGAUUCCCUGGCGGCUCACCA